GACGAACGCUGGCGGCGUGCCUAAUACAUGCAAGUCGAGCGAAGUUUUUCUGGUGCUUGCACCGGAAAAACUUAGCGGCGAACGGGUGAGUAACACGUAAAGAACCUGCCUCAUAGACUGGGACAACUAUUGGAAACGAUAGCUAAUACUGGAUAACAGCAUUAACUGCAUGGUUGAUGUUUAAAAGUUGGUUUUGCUAACACUAUGAGAUGGCUUUGCGGUGCAUUAGCUAGUUGGUGGGGUAAAGGCCUACCAAGGCGACGAUGCAUAGCCGACCUGAGAGGGUGAUCGGCCACACUGGGACUGAGACACGGCCCAGACUCCUACGGGAGGCAGCAGUAGGGAAUCUUCCGCAAUGGGCGAAAGCCUGACGGAGCAACGCCGCGUGAGUGAAGAAGGAUUUCGGUUCGUAAAGCUCUGUUGUUAGGGAAGAAUGAUUGUGUAGUAACUAUACACAGUAGAGACGGAC
rnacentral:rRNA from 1 species